rnacentral:rRNA from 1 species
GGGUUGUGAGGUUAAGCGACUAAGCGUACACGGUGGAUGCCCUGGCAGUCAGAGGCGAUGAAGGACGUGCUAAUCUGCGAAAAGCGUCGGUAAGGUGAUAUGAACCGUUAUAACCGGCGAUGUCCGAAUGGGGAAACCCAGUGCAAUUGUUGCACUAUCGUUAACUGAAUACAUAGGUUAACGAGGCGAACCGGGGAACUGAAACAUCUAAGUACCCCGAGGAAAAGAAAUCAACCGAGAUUCCCCAGUAGCGGCGAGCGAACGGGGAGCAGCCCAGAGUCUGAAUCAGCUUGUGUGUUAGUGGAACGGUCUGGAAAGUCCGACGGUACAGGGUGAUAGUCCCGUACACCAAAAUGCACAGGCUGUGAACUCGAAGAGUAGGGCGGGACACGUGGUAUCCUGUCUGAAUAUGGGGGGACCAUCCUCCAAGGCUAAAUACUCCUGACUGACCGAUAGUGAACCAGUACCGUGAGGGAAAGGCGAAAAGAACCCCGGCGAGGGGAGUGAAAAAGAACCUGAAACCGUGUACGUACAAGCAGUGGGAGCACCUUCGGGUGUGACUGCGUACCUUUUGUAUAAUGGGUCAGCGACUUAUAUUCUGUAGCAAGGUUAACCGUAUAGGGGAGCCGCAGGGAAACCGAGUCUUAACUGGGCGUUAAGUUGCAGGGUAUAGACCCGAAACCCGGUGAUCUAGCCAUGGGCAGGUUGAAGGUUGGGUAACACUAACUGGAGGACCGAACCGACUAAUGUUGAAAAAUUAGCGGAUGACUUGUGGCUGGGGGUGAAAGGCCAAUCAAACCGGGAGAUAGCUGGUUCUCCCCGAAAGCUAUUUAGGUAGCGCCUCGUGAACUCAUCUUCGGGGGUAGAGCACUGUUUCGGCUAGGGGUCAUCCCGACUUACCAACCCGAUGCAAACUACGAAUACCGAAGAAUGUUAUCACGGGAGACACACGGCGGGUGCUAACGUCCGUCGUGAAGAGGGAAACAACCCAGACCGCCAGCUAAGGUCCCAAAGUCAUGGUUAAGUGGGAAACGAUGUGGGAAGGCACAGACAGCCGUGAUGUUGGCUUAGAAGCAGCCAUCAUUUAAAGAAAGCGUAAUAGCUCACUGGUCGAGUCGGCCUGCGCGGAAGAUGUAACGGGGCUAAACCAUGCACCGAAGCUGCGGCAGCGACACUAUGUGUUGUUGGGUAGGGGAGCGUUCUGUAAGCCUGCGAAGGUGUGCUGUGAGGCAUGCUGGAGGUAUCAGAAGUGCGAAUGCUGACAUAAGUAACGAUAAAGCGGGUGAAAAGCCCGCUCGCCGGAAGACCAAGGGUUCCUGUCCAACGUUAAUCGGGGCAGGGUGAGUCGACCCUAAGGCGAGGCCGAAAGGCGUAGUCGAUGGGAAACAGGUUAAUAUUCCUGUACUUGGUGUUACUGCGAAGGGGACGGAGAAGGCUAUGUUAGCCGGGCGACGGUUGUCCCGGUUUAAGCAUGUAGGCUGAUUGUCCAGGCAAAUCCGGAUAAUCAAGGCUGAGGUGUGAUGACGAGGCACUACGGUGCUGAAGUAACAAAUGCCCUGCUUCCAGGAAAAGCCUCUAAGCAUCAGGUAACAUUAAAUCGUACCCCAAACCGACACAGGUGGUCAGGUAGAGAAUACCAAGGCGCUUGAGAGAACUCGGGUGAAGGAACUAGGCAAAAUGGUGCCGUAACUUCGGGAGAAGGCACGCUGGUGUGUAGGUGAAGUCCCUGCGGAUGGAGCUGAGACCAGUCGAAGAUACCAGCUGGCUGCAACUGUUUAUUAAAAACACAGCACUGUGCAAACACGAAAGUGGACGUAUACGGUGUGACGCCUGCCCGGUGCCGGAAGGUUAAUUGAUGGGGUUAUCCGUAAGGAGAAGCUCUUGAUCGAAGCCCGGUAAACGGCGGCCGUAACUAUAACGGUCCUAAGGUAGCGAAAUUCCUUGUCGGGUAAGUUCCGACCUGCACGAAUGGCGUAAUGAUGGCUGCUGUCUCCACCCGAGACUCAGUGAAAUUGAACUCGCUGUGAAGAUGCAGUGUACCCGCGGCAAGACGGAAAGACCCCGUGAACCUUUACUAUAGCUUGACACUGAACAUUGAGCCUUGAUGUGUAGGAUAGGUGGGAGGCUUUGAAGCGUGGACGCCAGUCUGCGUGGAGCCAACCUUGAAAUACCACCCUUUAAUGUUUGAUGUUCUAACGUUGGCCCCUUACCGGGGUUGCGGACAGUGUCUGGUGGGUAGUUUGACUGGGGCGGUCUCCUCCCAAAGCGUAACGGAGGAGCACGAAGGUUAGCUAAUCCGGUCGGACAUCAGGAGGUUAGUGCAAUGGCAUAAGCUAGCUUGACUGCGAGCGUGACGGCGCGAGCAGGUGCGAAAGCAGGUCAUAGUGAUCCGGUGGUUCUGAAUGGAAGGGCCAUCGCUCAACGGAUAAAAGGUACUCCGGGGAUAACAGGCUGAUACCGCCCAAGAGUUCAUAUCGACGGCGGUGUUUGGCACCUCGAUGUCGGCUCAUCACAUCCCGGGCUGAAGUAGGUCCCAAGGGUAUGGCUGUUCGCCAUUUAAAGUGGUACGCGAGCUGGGUUUAGAACGUCGUGAGACAGUUCGGUCCCUAUCUGCCGUGGGCGCUGGAGAAUUGAGGGGGGCUGCUCCUAGUACGAGAGGACCGGAGUGGACGCAUCACUGGUGUUCGGGUUGUCAUGCCAAUGGCACUGCCCGGUAGCUAAAUGCGGAAGAGAUAAGUGCUGAAAGCAUCUAAGCACGAAACUUGCCCCGAGAUGAGUUCUCCUGAGACUUUAAGUCUCCUGAAGGAACGUUGAAGACGACGACGUUGAUAGGCCGGGUGUGUAAGCGCAGCGAUGCGUUGAGCUAACCGGUACUAAUGAACCGUGAGGCUUAACCUUACAACGCCGAAG